rnacentral:rRNA from 1 species
UAGUCCAUGCCGUAAACGAUGAUUACUCGAUGUUGGUUCGCCAGUGUCUAAGCGAAAGUUAUAAGUAAUCCACCUGGGGAGUACGAUCGCAAGAUUGAAACUCAAAGGAAUUGACGGGGGCCCGCACAAGCGGAGGAACAUGUGGUUUAAUUCGAUGAUACGCGAGGAACCUUACCUGGACUUAAAUGUACGUUGCAUAGAUUGGAGACAGUCUUUUCUUCGGACUACGUACAAGGUGCUGCAUGGUUGUCGUCAGCUCGUGCCGUGAGGUGUCGGGUUAAGUCCUAUAACGAGCGCAACCCUUGUCGUUAGUUGCCAGCAAGUAAAGUUGGGGACUCUAGCGAGACUGCCGGUGCAAACCGAGAGGAAGGUGGGGAUGACGUCAAAUCAUCACGGCCCUUACGUCCUGGGCCACACACGUGCUACAAUGGUAUGGACAAUGAGCAGCCAUCUGGUAACAGAGAGCAAAUCUAUAAACCAUAUCACAGUUCGGAUCGGAGU